rnacentral:rRNA from 1 species
UGGGGAAUUUUGGACAAUGGGCGCAAGCCUGAUCCAGCCAUGCCGCGUGAGUGAAGAAGGCCUGGUUGUAAGCUCUUUCGGUCCGGGGAAGGAAAUCGUGGUCUCUAACAUAGGCCAUGGAUGACGGUACCGGA